rnacentral:rRNA from 1 species
AGACGGAGGGGGCGAGCGUUGUCCGGAAUUACUGGGCGUAAAGAGCACGUAGGCGGGAACUUAAGUCAGAUGUGAAAGACCGGGGCUCAACCUCGGGGUUGCAUUUGAAACUGGGUUUCUUGAGGGCAGGAGAGGAAAGCAGAAUUCCUGGUGUAGCGGUGAAAUGCGUAGAAAUCAGGAGGAAUACCAGUGGCGAAGGCGGCUUUCUGGACUGACCCUGACGCUGAGGUGCGAAAGCGUGGGUAGCAAACAGGAUUAGAUACCCUGGUAGUCCACGCCGCAAACGAUGGAUACUAGGUGUGGGAGGUAUCGACCCCUUCCGUGCCGCAGCUAACGCAAUAAGUAUCCCGCCUGGGGAGUACGAUCGCAAGGUUGAA